AGCCCAACAGCUAGCUCACACGCCAAAGUACAACAGUUCAUUAUAUAUAAACCCUAAAACCCAACACACCUUAAAACAAACCAUUUUUCCCCCUUAGUAUGGGUGACAGAAAAGGAAGCACGGAAGCAACAGCCAAAGUACCGCAAGGGAAUGCUGAAAGAGAAAUGAAACAAAUCAGUAUAAGCAUAACAAAGCAGAGCUUAGUUCUCGUACCUUUUGCAUCAUGAAUUAGCAAGAAACCCUCAAGCAAAAAGUAUUUUAGUUUGAUACCCCGAAACCAAGUGAGCUACUCCAAGACAGCCUAUUAAGGGCGAACCCGUCUCUGUGGCAAAAGAGUGGGACGAGCUUUGAGUAGAGGUGACAGACCUACCGAACUUGGUUAUAGCUGGUUGUCCAAGAAUUGAAUAGAAGUUCAGCCUUUUUUCCUCUCACCCCACCACCUUACUUCACCCUAAGGACCAGAGAGGCUAAAAGAGUUAGUCGAAGGGGGUACAGCCCCUUUGAAAUAGACACAACUUUACCAGAAGGGUUAAGAUUAUAUGACUUCAGGGAUUAUGUUUUAGUUGGCCUAAAAGCAGCCAUCCACUCAGAAAGCGUUAAAGCUCAUACACCAUUUAACCCUAUUAUUCGAACCACCCAAUCUUAUCCCCCUAGUAUAUACUGGACCUCUCCAUCUUAAUGGAAGAGAUUAUGCUAAUAUGAGUAAUAAGAGACCUAGACUCUCUCCCAGCACAAGUUUAAAUCGGAACGAACUAACACCGAAAAUUAACGGCCUCAGAAGAGGGUACUGGAACAUUUUGGGAAACCCACUAGAAAUACAUCCACACAAGCCACCGUUGAUCUUACACUAGAGUGCAUCCAAGGAAAGACUAAAUGAGAAAGAAGGAACUCGGCA
rnacentral:rRNA from 1 species